GAUGAACGCUAGCGAUAGGCUUAACACAUGCAAGUCGAGGGGUAACGUGUUGGAAGCUUGCUUCCGAUGACGACGACCGGCGGAUGGGUGCGUAACGCGUAUGCAACUUGCCUCACAGUGGAGAAUAACCCGGAGAAAUCCGGACUAAUACUCCAUACACUCUUAAGUACGCCUGUACAUGAGAUGAAAGGUUUAUCGCUGUGAGAUAGGCAUGCGUCCUAGUAGGUAGUUGGUGAGGUAACGGCUCACCAAGCCGACGAUAGGUAGGGGUGCUGAGAGGCAGAUCCCCCACAUGGGGACUGAGACACGGCCCAAACUCCUACGGGAGGCAGCAGUGAGGAAUAGUAGUCAAUGGAGGAAACUCUGAACCAGCCAAGUCGCGUGAAGGAAGAAUGUCCUAAGGAUUGUAAACUUCUUUAGCGAGCGAGUAAGGACUUCCACGUGAUGGGAGUUUGAAAGUAGCUCGAGAAUAAGUAUCGGCUAACUCCGUG
rnacentral:rRNA from 1 species